AAGCCGCUGGCGCAUGUCCGUCCAGCCACCGCCACCGUCCCAACUUCGAGCUUCGAAGGCAACGGCGCAACGUUCGUCCAGCCACCGCCGUUUGAGCUUCGAAAAUCGAAGCCACCGUCGCCGGUCUCACCUCUUGCCUCCGUCGUGCAGUCACUUCCCGCCGAUGGCAGCUCUAUUCCACACGACCACGUCGGCCACCUUCCCCGAAUCAAGAAUCAUUCGUGCAUCGUGCACCCCCAUUAGCCCCUUCUGAAGAAAAUCAAAGAGAACCCUAGCCCUAGGAUCCUUGCCGCCGCCGUCCCCAGGUUCUCGGCGCCUCCACUUCUUCUUCUUCUCGCUGUUCGGAACCCAGGUAGCUUGGUUCGUCAUCCCCAUCUUCCCUGUCUUCUCUGUUCGUGGCUUGGAGCAGCUCGCCGUUGGGUCGCCGCUUGCUGUCGCCUUGCCUAUUGUCGUCGUCUCGUCGGUUUCCAUCCGUGUCUCCGUCGAAGGUUCAGUAUUGGCUUCAACUUUCAAAUAGGAAUUGGGAGCUGGUGAAGAUAAUAACAUCUUCUGGAACUGAGUCUGUUGUUUCACUGCCUGAUAGAAAAGAACGGUUUUUUCGGUUGAACCACGGUUAGACCGGUUGGACCAGUAAACCAGUGAACCAGUGACUAAAACGAUUCGAUGACCGUGUCACCCAGCCGCCAGCCGCCAGCCGCUUGCCGCCCGCCGUCAUCCUCUUCGUCUCACCGCCGGCCUGAACUCUGAAAGAACUAAGGAAGUAGGAACAGCCGAACAGAACAGAGCCGCGGCUGUCCAUCAUCGCCGUCGCCGUCAAACUCGCCCUUGCUGCGCCGUCGAACUCGCCGUUGCCUCGCUCUUCUGCUCUGUCAAACAGGUUAGCUCCAGUUCUCCUCUGUAGUCUGCUCUGUUCUGCACUUCUUGCUGUUACAGUGUUAUGAAUAUGCUUGUUGAAAUUUCUGGGAUGAAUAUGCUUGUUGAAAGCUUGAAUCUAUGAAAUAUGAAUUAUGUUUUGUUGAUUUGUUCUGUGUUUUACAUGCUUGUUAAAAACUUGAAAAUUUGUUGUUUUAUUGAUUUGUUCUUG